ACAACUUUCCUCUCUUCCCGACAGAUUUCUCUACUAAAUUUGACUUCGUUUCAACACUUUGGUUGGGCAAAUUACAUUAAGAUGGAUGUUGCAGGUGCUCUCUCCCACGUCACUGUAAGGAGCUGAGUUCUCCCAGAGGCUACCACCGCCAAACUGCUGGACUGACCUCCAUCUAGAUAGGGUUCCCAUCUGCCAGAUUUUUCACUUUCCCCAGUUUCUCUCAUCCAGACUAUCCUAUUCCUUGUUCUCAUGCCCAGCUCUCUAUUGGUGGCUAACUAAUCCUCAAGGGUCUCAGCUGAUGGCUAUAUGCCAGGCCUGUUUUGCAUGCUGAAAGAGACCUUCAGUACCGCAAUCUAGUGGCGCUUCUAGGUUGGCAGGGCCAGUGGAAGUGAGUCUGGGGGGCCAAGAGGGCUCUUCUGGGCAGCUGGGAUCAUCACGUGGCACAGGGACUCAUGCGCUCUCAUCCCCCCGCCCCCGCAUCCUAGAGAAGGCUGAAUGGCAAACACAGAAAAAUGGAAACAUCUGGAAUAUAAGCAGGAUACAGCUUUCUCAGGGUCAGGUUCUUAAGUCAGUGUGGAAGGCAACCAUCGAGCAAAGUCAAAACACCUUCACACCGUUUCUUGCUUGAGUUAUCAACUGGAGCAGUUGGCUAGAUGUAGACCCCGCCCUGAUGCCACUGCACGAACGAUGCUUGUCUGCACAGCGGCCUCCCCGGGAGAAUGAGGGCACAGAAUGGAACUUCAUUCACCCGCCAAAGAAAAUCAAGAUUCCUUUCCAGGUUUCAAGGGAGAAACCUGUAGCCACACUUAAUUAACCUCUCCAGUAAAGCCUGGUUAAGAGAGCUGUGGCAAGCAGCUUUGAAAAUGGCGUCCGUAGAUCCCUGCCUCCUGGUAUUCAGGCCCUUGGGUAACCCCUCCCCUUGGGUGCGGUCUGGGCCUAGCGAUUUUCUUCCAAGGGAAUACAGCAAAAGUGAUGGGAUGCCCCUUCUGAGAUGAGCUAAGAGGCUGGACUUCCAGACUGCGGCAAUGUCUCUUUGCUCUUCUGCUCGCUCUUGAUGAAGCCAAGACGCCAUGCUGUGCGCCGCCCUAUGGAGAGGCCCAUUCGGCAAGGCACUGAGGCUCUCCGAUCACCAAUCUGCGAGGAACUGACUCCUCACCAUGAGUGAGUGUGGAAGCAGAUCCUUCCCCAGUUGAGUCCUGGGAUGACCACAGCCCAACAAUGUGGAUGGCAGUCUGUGAGGGACCCUUAAGCGGAGGAUCCAGCUACGUACAGAUUUCUGACCCCCAGAAACUGUGAGAUAACCACUGUUGUUCUAAGCCAAUACAGUUUGGGGUAAUUUGUUCUGUAGCAACAGAGUUCAGAAACACACA